rnacentral:lncRNA from 1 species
CAAGCCUCUUGGAUUGGGGGGGCACCCACACACGCAGCAUGCAGUGUGGCUAAUCUGCAACAUCCCAGAGGUGAGGUUCCAAGGACGCAUGUUCUUGUCCUCAAAGUCAGGCAGCCACCCACCUGCAGGAUGGCGAGUUGAAUGCAGCCCCUGCCUACCUACUCCCCUGCACUCCACUGCCCUUUAUCGGGGCUCCACAGAAGCAUGGUGAAGGAAGGAAGGAAGGGGCCGAGGGCAUCGGGCUCUGGAAAAAGUGAGCCAGGGGCACCCAGUCAGCCUGGACGUCACAUGCCAACCUCCGCCUUCCGACCCAGCCCUUUUUCCACUGGAAGGGACCUGAGCCUGGUGCAGACUGGCCUUGGACCCUGGGAGCUACGGGGCAGAGGGGAGCAAGCCCAAGGACCGGGUGGAAGAUGAGCAGGAGGAACCAGGAUAGAUGGUUACAGCUGGGUAGCAGGAAGGACUUACAGACGUGGGGGAUGCGCUGGCUCCAAGUGACCUGGAGGGAAAGGGCUGGGGCUGGAAGGGAGUCAUUGACGGUCUCCCAUAAUUACACAAGUGAACGGGACUUUUUAAAAAUAAAGUAGAGGACUUAAAAACCCAUCAGAGGGGCCUGGGAUUUAGCUCAGUGGCACUGUGCCUGGCUGGAAAGUGCAAGAUCCUGAGUUCCAUCCCUGUUACUGAAAAACAACAACAAACAAAACAAAACAAAAAAACCCCAUCACAGCUGGACAUAGUGGUGGGAGCACUCUGGGAGGCUGAGGCAGGAGGAUUGCAAGUUCAAGUCUAGCCUGGGCAACCUAGUGACUUAACUAGACUGUCUCAAAAUAAAAAAUAAAAAAGGGCUGAGGAUGUAGCUCAUUGCGAAGGCCCCAGCUUCAGUCCCCACUAUGGGGCAUAGAACCACC